UCCUACGUCAUCCCCAUCUCUGGAGCUGUCCUCCGUUGUCUAGCCCAGGUAAGGUUCUUCGCGUUGCGUCGAAUUGAACCACAUGCUCCACCGCUUGUGCGGGCCCCCGUCAAUUCCUUUGAGUUUCAGCCUUGCGGCCGUACUCCCCAGGCGGGGUACUUCCUGCGUUAGCGCCGGCACCCAAGGGGUCGCUCCCCCAGGCACCUAGUACCCAUCGUUUACGGCGUGGACUAC
rnacentral:misc_RNA from 1 species